rnacentral:rRNA from 1 species
CAGACGGGUGAGUAAUGUCUGGGAAACUGCCUGAUGGAGGGGGAUAACUACUGGAAACGGUAGCUAAUACCGCAUAACGUCGCAAGACCAAAGAGGGGGACCUUCGGGCCUCUUGCCAUCGGAUGUGCCCAGAUGGGAUUAGCUAGUAGGUGGGGUAACGGCUCACCUAGGCGACGAUCCCUAGCUGGUCUGAGAGGAUGACCAGCCACACUGGAACUGAGACACGGUCCAG